rnacentral:rRNA from 1 species
UACAGAGGGUGCAAGCGUUGUUCGGAAUCAUUGGGCGUAAAGGGCGCGUAGGCGGACUUUUAAGUCGGAGGUGAAAGCCCAGGGCUCAACCCUGGAAUUGCCUUCGAUACUGGGAGUCUUGAGUUCGGAAGAGGUUGGUGGAACUGCGAGUGUAGAGGUGAAAUUCGUAGAUAUUCGCAAGAACACCGGUGGCGAAGGCGGCCAACUGGUCCGAAACUGACGCUGAGGCGCGAAAGCGUGGGGAGCAAACAGG